AACCACGGACACAAACUCAACAAAGCAAAUCUGAAAACGAAUUUGCAAGGCACAACGGGUGACAGGACAACGAAAAUUAAAAUAUUUUUUUGGGCUUUUUGUGGACUGUAGGUAAUGAACAAAUAUAAAUAUAGGGCAAACGAGAUUAUACCUCAUGGUAAACCUAAAAUAUCUUAUACCAAUUGAUGAGGAUAUCUGAUACCAAUUGAUGAGGUUUAGGCCCGAUCUUCCGAGAGGUAGAAGGUAAAUUCGAUUUGUGGAGAACUCGACGUUGGCAAUCUGGCUUCAAAUCAGCACGAUUUGAACCCUGCAACCGUUACACCACUGAUCCGUUGGUUAUCAACCAAGCACAACUUGAUUGACCUUGCCAAGAAGGCUGUUCCUGCAAGCAAAUUGAAGAACACAAGCAAGAAGAUAAAAACACGCAAUCUAGAAUUGCAAAUAUGAAUGACGCAAUUAUCAAAAUUUCAAGAAUUCGGUUCGAAAGGAUUAAUCAACAUAGUGGAGGAGAUCAAUAACGAGGGCCCUGGAUCACUGUAAAAGGAUUUGUCACCACAGUUAUAAUGAACGAUUCAGUUUCUCUAUGGAAAACUAAACUCUAAACAAAACCCAAGUCUAAACAGCGGCGGCUGCAUGGAAUAUAAAGGAGAAGCGACCUAGGGUUGGAGGCGACCAGAGGGAGGCGCCCACAACAUGGGCUUAAGGCUCGAAUUCGAUACAUGGCCAUGUUAGCCCAAAAUAGAUGAUGUAGCACAUUGUCGUGGUCAUAAAGAUUAAUCCACGAAAGAUCUGGAGCUAGGACUAGAUCCAAAAUGACGGCAUCGUCGUCCCCUUUCCAACGAGUCCAAGAUCACUCCGUUUUGAUGUCGUAUGAAGAAGUUAUGAUCAAAACACUGACAACGUGUUUACUAAAUCCCAGAGUGACAUGGUAGGUGAGUUGGAGAUGAAUUGCAACUUGGAAAAGAUGAUGGUGUCAACGUAUCUAGCGUGGCGAUGUCCUCAUCAUACUCCCCCUCUGUUAUUUUAGUUUUAAUUUUACAUUUUAUUUACUUUCCUUAAAUGAAAUAAAAUAAAAUAAAAUAAAGAUAGGAAGACUUGCAUCUAAUAAAGAAAGGGUGACAUGAUUUAUGACAUUUAAAGGUUAAAAGCGUCACAAAUUCUAAUUCUUGCAUAUGCUUAUUCUUGUUGGUCAAAUAUCUUGAUAGGAAUAUCAUAUUGACUAAGUUGUUGAUAAAUAUGAUAUAGUUCUUGGCUCAUGAUUCAUACCGUUUCUAUUCAAAGCACUUAGAGAUUUAUUUUUGAAAAUGUCAUAAAACCAUAGUGUCACUUACUCCUCAAUAGUAAGAAAAGUCAUACCAAUGCCAUAUAGUUCAUACCAUGUUCAAAACCCCUUCUAUAUAUGCUACUUGUACUUGUGUUGAGUUCGGUCAAACCUUGUUGACCGUAGUUGAGAGUUAUGACAUAGUCCCAAGACCAAGAUCACGUACACAGCACAUAUCAUGCUUGCUACUUCUACACUGGAAGUACGCAAAAACAUGUCAUGCAUUUCCACCAUAGAGAUGCUCCAUGUUCUAAGGUUUUAGAAUAUCUCUCUAAGUAUGGCUUAGAAGUUGAGACAUAAAGGCUAUUCAAAAAAAUAAAAAGAAAAAUAAAAAAAUUGUGGACACAUGAAGGUCCAUUGCUCUGAAAAACUAGCCAUGUCUCAAAUAAAAUAAUAUAGAGAGAGAUCAUAUCAAAUUGAGGAGCAUUAUUCCUUUAUCUUCCACACACUUGCACAUCUAGAUCUAGGAUUAUGACAUUCUCCUCCUUGGAUCCUUGUUUUGACUUUACAAUAUAUGCAAUGCAAGUAUGCUAUUUUAUCCCUACCUGAGCCCCACAUAAGCUUGAUAGAUUUAGGAUGAAACAAAAGAAGGAAAUCUUAUGCUAUGCCUUGGUGAGGAAGCAUAUACUUACUGAGUGACUUAAUAAUGCUAUUUGAGGAGUAAGAAUGAACUAUGUGUUUUCUUUUAAAAACCAUUUUCAAAAACUCUAAGUACUAAGGAUAGGAAAAUGGGAAGAUGACUCUGCCUUGAGAACUGUUCCAUUUUUCAACAUCUGAAGGAUAUAUGCUAGACAGUACCACAUAACCCACCUGUAUGUGAUGUGUCAUGAAUGAAACUUUGUCUUUCAUAAUACCUUGAAAAUGUCAUAAUCAUAUUUUAUCAUUCUCUCUAACCUUUGCUCGAGGAUGAGCAAAGACUUGAGUGUGGGGGAUCUUGUUGACGGUAGAUGUGACACAAAUUUACACCUUCAAAACACCGUCAACAGCCUCGGUUUGGAAGGAACAUAAUCAUAAAAUAAAUAUAUUUUAUCCAAUAAUAAGUUCCACAUGUACAUGAAGUAUUUGAUGUAGACAUAUAGGAAAUGGGGACAAAUGGGUCAGUGGGACCCACCUAGUGGGGUCGCUCGACCCCCUAUGGGGCUCACUAGCCUCCCAAAGUGGCCAUGAUCCAUGGGAAAAACUCCAGAGUCAUUCUUGACCCUUGGAUGAAGUGUGUGUUUUCUCUCAAUGGCUGAUAUUUAGCUCACAUGGAUCCAUGGGCCCACAA
rnacentral:lncRNA from 1 species